AAAAACAAUAUUUUAUAUGGUAUUCUGUGAUUUUUCUGCACAAAGAAUAUUGGGAUAAGAAAAUUCCAAGAAAUGAGGAAGUAUUUAGAUGCACUUCUUCUCAUAACUUAAACCAAUACACACAUGCAUGCAUGCCCAAACAUUUUUAAAAAAUUACACGAAAUGAAGGCCUCUCACAUCUACAGUGUUAGUAGUAUACCCUAGAGC
rnacentral:misc_RNA from 1 species